UUCCACUCAGGCCUGCGAUGUGUUCAGACC
rnacentral:piRNA from 1 species